CAGUCGCCGCGGGAAUACGUAGGUGGCAAGCGUUGUCCGGAAUUAUUGGGCGUAAAGGGCUCGCAGGCGGACUGAUAAGUCAGGGGUGAAAUCCCAAGGCUCAACCUUGGAACUGCCUUUGAUACUGUUUGUCUUGAGUUCGAGAGAGGUAAGUGGAACCGCGAGUGUAGAGGUGAAAUUCGUAGAUAUUCGCAAGAACACCAGUGGCGAAGGCGGCUUACUGGCUCGAAACUGACGCUGAGGCGCGAAAGCGUGGGGAGCAAACAGGAUUAGAUACCCCCGUAGUCCCUGUCUCUUAUAC
rnacentral:rRNA from 1 species